rnacentral:lncRNA from 1 species
CUUAUGAUUAUAAGUGACUACUAAAGUACAAGGUUUAUCGACCAAAGUUGAGAGAGAACCAAUGGACCAUGCAUCUUUAACUAGCUUACACCAACUAUUAUCUAACUCCUGAAUGACACAAUCAAAAGGAUCGCCUUAACACCUCUUCAUGCUACCAGGAGCUAAGCUGGAACAUGAAACAUCAUGGCUAGGGUUGAGGGGGAAACUGGCUAGUGUUGAGCGAGAAACCCAUGACGAACCAAAUGUCCUCAGUCUAAUAGUAGCAAAAACAAUGAAACUUUGUAUGAUGCUUCCAGAUCAUCAGUGAAAUUGCUUGAAACUCAGCUCGCACCUACACAGAUGCACAAUCAUUAUACAUGUCCAAAUUAUUUAUACUUAAGCUAACCAAAUCAACAAUAUUGAAAUCCUAUACAAUUUGAAACAUACCAUUCUUUUUAUUAUCAACAUCAAGUGUGGUACCCUUACUAACCAGUCCCGUAAAACCCUCAAUCCGGCAACUCUAAUCAAUGCAAACAAUAGGCAUCGUUACCCAUAAUUAAAUACAAAGAAAAAUACUGAAAUUUUAAAACUUGUAUAAUCUAAUAGCAUCAGUAAACCGGCUAAUACAUUACAUACCAUCUCCAUAGCACAUUAUGCUGUCAUGACGCUCCAAUUAAGCCUAAAACACACAAAAUUUUAGUUCUUGGAUCAAGACUGAUUAGAUAUCAGCUUUACUAGAUGUUUUGGAUGAUAUAAUUAUGAGAAAUGAGACUGAGGGCACGUCGAGUAUCCCAAUACAUAGUAGAUAGUGAUGUGAUUUUAAUGAAAAAUAAUAUAGCAAAUACUCAAUUUUGACCAUGGAUGAAUUGUAUAAUACAUGAAUAGAUGAUUAAGGGG